GACGAACGCUGGCGGCGUGCUUAACACAUGCAAGUCGAACGGAAAGGCCCUGCUUUUGUGGUGUGCUCGAGUGGCGAACGGGUGGGUAACACGUGAGUAACCUGCCCUUGACCUUGGGAUAACUUCAGGAAACUGGGGCUAAUACCGGAUAGGAGCUCCUGCUGCAUGGUGUGGGUUGGAAAGUAUCGGCGGUAGGGGAUGGACUCGCGGCUUAUUAGCUUGUUGGUCGGGUAGUGGCUUACCACGUCUUUGACGGGUUGCCGGCCUGAGAGGGUGACCGGCCACCAGACGCCUCAGGGAAGGACCAGUAUGUAAUGGGAGGCAGGGGAGGAGAGUAUGGAACAACGAGGGGGAGUCAGUAACGACAACGUCGCGUGCGGGAUAACGGGUUUUGGGAGAUGAACCGGGAUCGCCGGAGACGAAGGGUGAGUGACGGUAUUGCGUAAAAAAGCACCGGCUAACUACGUG
rnacentral:rRNA from 1 species